UGCCUUAUAGUGGGGGAUAGCCUUUCGAAAGGAAGAUUAAUACCGCAUAAGAUUGUAGUAUCGCAUGAUAUAGCAAUUAAAGGAGCAAUUCGCUAUAAGAUGGACCCGCGUCGCAUUAGCUAGUUGGUGAGGUAAUGGCUCACCAAGGCGACGAUGCGUAGCCGACCUGAGAGGGUGAUCGGCCACAUUGGGACUGAGACACGGCCCAGACUCCUACGGGAGGCAGCAUG
rnacentral:rRNA from 1 species